AAUAUUGGAUAAUGGGGGCAACUCUGAUCCAGCCAUGCCGCGUGUGUGAAGAAGGUCUUCGGUUUGUAAAGCACUUUAAGCUGGGAGGAAGGGCUUUAGGUUAAUACCCUGAAGUUUUGACGUUACCAACAGAAUAAGCACCGGCUAACUCUGUGCCAGCAGCCGCGGUAAUACAGAGGGUGCAAGCGUUAAUGGGAAUUCCUGGGCGUAAAGCGGGCGUAGGUGGUUCAGUAAGAUGGGUGUGAAAUCCCCGGGCUUAACCUGGGAACUGCUUUCAUAACUGCUGAGCUAGAGUACGGUAGAGGGUAGUGGAAUUUCCUGUGUAGCGGUGAAAUGCGAAGAUAUAGGAAGGAACACCAGUGGCGAAGGCGACUACCUGGACUGAUACUGACACUGAGGUGCGAAAGCGUGGGGAGCAAAC
rnacentral:rRNA from 1 species